rnacentral:rRNA from 1 species
UUGCCAUCAUUCAGUUGGGCACUCUAGCGAGACUGCCGGUAAUAAACCGGAGGAAGUGGGGAGUGACGUCAAAUCAUCAUGCCCUUAUGACCUGGGCUACACACGUGCUACAAUGGUUGGUACAACGAGUUGCGAGUCGGUGACGGCGAGCUAAUCUCUUAAAGCCAAUCUCAGUUCGGAUUGUAGGCUGCAACUCGCCUACAUGAAGUCGGAAUCGCUAGUAAUCGCGGAUCAGCACGCCGCGGUGAAUACGUUCCCGGGCCUU